AUUGAACGCUGGCGGCAGGCCUAACACAUGCAAGUCGAACGGUAACAGGAAACAGCUUGCUGUUUCGCUGACGAGUGGCGGACGGGUGAGUAAUGUCUGGGAAACUGCCUGAUGGAGGGGGAUAACUACUGGAAACGGUAGCUAAUACCGCAUAACGUCGCAAGACCAAAGAGGGGGACCUUCGGGCCUCUUGCCAUCGGAUGUGCCCAGAUGGGAUUAGCUAGUAGGUGGGGUAACGGCUCACCUAGGCGACGAUCCCUAGCUGGUCUGAGAGGAUGACAAGCCACACUGGAACUGAGACACGGUCCAGACUCCUACGGGAGGCAGCAGUGGGGAAUAUUGCACAGUGGGCGGAAGCCUGAUGCAGCCAUGCCGCGUGUAUGAAGAAGGCCUUCGGGUUGUAAAGUACUUUCAGCGGGGAGGAAGGGAGUAAAGUUAAUACCUUUACUCAUUGACGUUACCCGCAGAAGAAGCACCGGCUAACUCCGUG
rnacentral:rRNA from 1 species